rnacentral:SRP_RNA from 1 species
CGUCGGUUCCCUCGCGACGAUUGGCUGUUAACCCCGUCAGGCCCGGAAGGGAGCAGCGGAAGCGGUUAAAUUGGGUGCCGGGGACGAGCUGACGCGG